UACGAAGGGAGCUAGCGUUGUUCGGAAUGACUGGGCGUAAAGGGCGCGUAGGCGGUUUUAUAAGUCAGAUGUGAAAGCCUUGGGCUUAACCUGAGAAUAGCAUUUGAGACUGUAAGACUAGAGGACGAGAGAGGAAAGUGGAAUUACGAGUGUAGAGGUGAAAUUCGUAGAUAUUCGUAAGAACACCAGUGGCGAAGGCGACUUUCUGGCUCGUAUCUGACGCUAAGGCGCGAAAGCGUGGGGAGCAAACAGG
rnacentral:rRNA from 1 species